rnacentral:rRNA from 1 species
AAGGAAUAUUGGUCAAUGGAGGAAACUCUGAACCAGCCAUGCCGCGUGGAGGAUGAAGGUCCUCUGGAUUGUAAACUUCUUUUAUAUGGGACGAAAAAAGGGUUUUCUAACUCGUCUGACGGUACCAUAUGAAUAAGCACCGGCUAACUCCGUGCCAGCAGCCGCGGUAAUACGGAGGGUGCAAGCGUUAUCCGGAUUCACUGGGUUUAAAGGGAGCGUAGGUGGGUUGGUAAGUCAGUGGUGAAAUCUUCAAGCUUAACUUGGAAACUGCCGUUGAUACUAUCAGUCUUGAAUAUUGUGGAGGUUAGCGGAAUAUGUCAUGUAGCGGUGAAAUGCUUAGAUAUGACAUAGAACACCAAUUGCGAAGGCAGCUGGCUACACAUAUAUUGACACUGAGGCUCGAAAGCGUGGGGAUCAAACA